AUUUUCGUCAAAGAGUCGCGACAAGUGAUUCUGACGCGGAAAAGAAUCACAUUGGAUUCUACCGGAGCCGAAAGAGCAAAAGAAACACAAAAUACCCAAAUCUUCCUUCGUGCUGACUGCUGAUUUUCGUCCACGAAGAAGAGCGUCCAAAGGUUCACCUGACCACCACAACUCUUUUCGGAGUGUCUGAAGUUCGUGUACGUGCUAGGAAGCCACUUACAAUGAAACUGGGCAUUACCGGUUCUCCAACUCCCAUUGUCAUCUGGGCUAAAGAAGGAAAACCCAUUCCAAGGGCUCGCACCUCAUUACUAUACUACACUAGAGCUCCCAAAAGCAGAUCAUGGUGACACUGGAAACUACCUUGUGACUGUUGAAAACGAACAUGGCAGAGAUUCUGCAGAUAUUCCGGUCUUAGUUAUUGACAAGCCUGGACCCCCGGACGGUCCUUUGGAGGUCAGUGAUGCGUUUGCGGACUCCUGCCAAUUGGCUUGGAAACCACCUCAGGACAAAGGAAACUAACCAAUAAUCUUUGAGUCUUAUUAAUUAC